CCUACGUGAGGCAGCAGUAGGGAAUCUUCCACAAUGGGCGAAAGCCUGAUGGAGCAACGCCGCGUGGGUGAAGAAGGUCUUCGGAUCGUAAAACCCUGUUGUUAGAGAAGAAAGUGCGUGAGAGUAACUGUUCACGUUUCGACGGUAUCUAACCAGAAAGCCACGGCUAACUACGUGCCAGCAGCCGCGGUAAUACGUAGGUGGCAAGCGUUAUCCGGAUUUAUUGGGCGUAAAGGGAACGCAGGCGGUCUUUUAAGUCUGAUGUGAAAGCCUUCGGCUUAACCGGAGUAGUGCAUUGGAAACUGGGAGACUUGAGUGCAGAAGAGGAGAGUGGAACUCCAGGUGUAGCGGUGAAAUGCGUAGAUAUAUGGAAGAACACCAGUGGCGAAAGCGGCUCUCUGGUCUGUAACUGACGCUGAGGUUCGAAAGCGUGGGUAGCAAACAGGAUUAGAUACCCGAGUAGUC
rnacentral:rRNA from 1 species